rnacentral:rRNA from 1 species
GACGAACGCUGGCGGCGUGCCUAAUACAUGCAAGUUGAGCGAUGAAGAUUGGUGCUUGCACGAAUUUGAAGAGCAGCGAACGGGUGAGUAACGCGUGGGGAAUCUGCCUUUGAGCGGGGGACAACAUUUGGAAACGAAUGCUAAUACCGCAUAACAACUUUAAACAUAAGUUUUAAGUUUGAAAGAUGCAAUUGCAUCACUCAAAGAUGAUCCCGCGUUGUAUUAGCUAGUUGGUGAGGUAAAGGCUCACCAAGGCGAUGAUACAUAGCCGACCUGAGAGGGUGAUCGGCCACAUUGGGACUGAGACACGGCCCAAACUCCUACGGGAGGCAGCAGUAGGGAAUCUUCGGCAAUGGACGAAAGUCUGACCGAGCAACGCCGCGUGAGUGAAGAAGGUUUUCGGAUCGUAAAACUCUGUUGGUAGAGAAGAACGUUGGUGAGAGUGGAAAGCUCAUCAAGUGACGGUAACUACCCAGAAAGGGACGGCUAACUACGUG